UCCAGACUCCUACGGGAGGCAGCAGUAAGGGAUAUUGGUCAAUGGGGGAAACCCUGAACCAGCAACGCCGCGUGAGGGAAGACGGUCUUCGGAUUGUAAACCUCUGUCUUUGGGGAAGAAAAUGACGGUACCCAAAGAGGAAGCUCCGGCUAACUACGUGCCAGCAGCCGCGGUAAUACGUAGGGAGCGAGCGUUGUCCGGAAUUACUGGGUGUAAAGGGAGCGUAGGCGGGCGAGAAAGUUGAAUGUUAAAUCUACCGGCUUAACUGGUAGCUGCGUUCAAAACUUCUUGUCUUGAGUGAAGUAGAGGCAGGCGGAAUUCCUAGUGUAGCGGUGAAAUGCGUAGAUAUUAGGAGGAACACCAGUGGCGAAGGCGGCCUGCUGGGCUUUAACUGACGCUGAGGCUCGAAAGCGUGGGGAGCAAACAGGAUUAGAUACCCCCGUAUGU
rnacentral:rRNA from 1 species